AUAAUAUGCGUAGCAAAACAUGAAUCGUGAAGCAUACUUUUAAUCUUAGUUAUAAAUUAAAGUAAAUAAAAUUAACCUGGUUUCUAUUAUCUUUAAAAGAAGUAAAAACGCUUCUCUUUUAAUUUAUACGCUUUUUUUAUACUCUAUAAGAGCAAAAUUUGACAUCAAGUUAAAAAUAUCCUAAAAUAGUGCUUAUCUAGAAAUUUUGCUCGCAUCCUAUAUGGAAUAUAAGCAAAAAACUAUGAAGUUACUUGUGGGACAAAAUCCAUGUUUAGUUUUCAUUGUGUCGUAAUGCUGUUUGUUGUGUGGUUUUACGUUUCGUCGUGGUACCCUUCAUCGCGGCGCAGAUUUCUUUAUGGCGUGUUAUUUUACUUACUCUUCGUCGUGGAGUUUACUCUUCUUCGAAGUAUUUCAUUCUUUGUUGCGUAGUUUAGGUUAUGGUGUAUCAUAAUGGUGUAAAUUUUAUAUGAAAUCACUAUUCGUGCUGGCUGCCUUAUGAAGUUUCAUGAAACGAAGGGAAACUGGAAGAGUCAUAAUCUUUAAAUUGAUUAGUUAGCUUUCAGGUUGCUGUUCACUGUAUAUUGACCUGAGCAGUAUCAGAAACCAGAGCAAAGCAAGAGUAAAUAAUUUAUAUUAUUUAUUGUUUGUGGUAGCUAGCCAGCUAGCUAACUCAAAACGCACGACCCACACUUAUGGGGCUCAUGUGGUGAUAUGAAAUUAGUUCAUGGAAUUAUUUAUUUCAUGUAAAAGAGCAUGAAGUUAAGUACGCCUGUAACGAACACAAUACGAACAAUUAUACGACACGACGAAACGUAAAACCAC